CUCCCUCCUCGCGUGAUGGUAUCGCUCCAUUAUCCUCUUCUGAGCUGAUGUCACCCCUUACGUCUCUGAAGAGAUGGUAUCGUCCGACUUCACCAUUUGAGCGGCGGUUUGGAAAGACCGUGAGAGCUCAUGGAAACGGUCAGGUGUGAUUUAAACACCAGGCACUGGGACCUAAUGAGAAAACAAGAGCUGGAGUCCGGCCAAAAAACGAGAGCUUGCUGGUGAUUCAUUGGGCCAGACCACACCAGAUUCCCCCACCCCAAUGGGAGAUAAUAAGGCCAUUUAUAUGGGUGUCAGUGGACAGGAAGCACGACCAUAUCUGGACUCUGAAGGGCAGACAAUCAAGUCUUCAGAAGAAAAUGUUGGAAGAAACCAUGCAGACCUUUCUAGUGCUGAAUGCUGUCUGUUGGGAUGCUAUCCCUUUAAAUGUCUGCCGAUGGGACAGGUAAACAUCAGAGGACGCAUUGCAAACAUCAAGGAGAUGUUUGUGCAUACGCUGCAGUUGGGAGGGAGAUUUUACUGGAAAUAAAUGUGAGAAUCCUCAGCGCUUGGCUCUGGGUGGAGGUGGUCGGGUGCACAUGAGGAUAAAGCACAGUAGAGUCGCAUCAGGCUUUGACCAAUACGCUGACCCGUCUCCAGGGGAACAAUGACUUUGAACAUUUCUGCACCCGGCCCUGGCACCUUCAUUGUACGAGUGAUGGCGCCAGCAAACCUAUUCAUCACUUUCCACUAAGUUACCUCCUCUUUGUUUUAGUUCACAAAUGUAGGUGGAGAGAAACAAAAGCUGAGAAACGCACACGCAUUUACUGUGUAUAUACAUUCACAAAUACAAACAGUUAAGCUCAGAUGCAUCAGUACGGGGAGUUUGAACCUUCUUUAGAUGCAGCGUAUCAGUAAAGUUGCAUUUAAACCACUAAAUGACAAAUGAUUUGUUUUUGUUUUU